rnacentral:rRNA from 1 species
GAGUGAACGCUGGCGGUAGGCCUAACACAUGCAAGUCGAACGGCAGCACAGUAAGAGCUUGCUCUUACGGGUGGCGAGUGGCGGACGGGUGAGGAAUACAUCGGAAUCUACUUUUUCGUGGGGGAUAACGUAGGGAAACUUACGCUAAUACCGCAUACGACCUACGGGUGAAAGCAGGGAAUCUUCGGACCUUGCGCGAUUGAAUGAGCCGAUGUCGGAUUAGCUAGUUGGCGGGGUAAAGGCCCACCAAGGCGACGAUCCGUAGCUGGUCUGAGAGGAUGAUCAGCCACACUGGAACUGAGACACGGUCCAGACUCCUACGGGAGGCAGCAGUGGGGAAUAUUGGACAAUGGGCGCAAGCCUGAUCCAGCCAUACCGCGUGGGUGAAGAAGGCCUUCGGGUUGUAAAGCCCUUUUGUUGGGAAAGAAAAGCAGCAGGUUAAUACCCCGCUGUUCUGACGGUACCCAAAGAAUAAGCACCGGCUAACUUCGUG